UACGAAGGGUGCAAACGUUGCUCGGAAUCAUUGGGCGUAAAGCGCACGUAGGCGGCUUCGCAAGUCGGAUGUGAAAUCCCGUAGCUCAACCAUGGACGUGCAUCCGAAACUGUGAGGCUUGAGUAUGGAAGAGGGUCGCGGAAUUCCCGGUGUAGAGGUGAAAUUCGUAGAUAUCGGGAGGAGCACCAGUGGCGAAGGCGGCGACCUGGGCCAAUACUGACGCUGAGGUGCGAAAGCGUGGGGAGCAAACGGG
rnacentral:rRNA from 1 species